GCAAGUCAAACUUGUUACUUCGGUAACAAGUGGCAAACGGGUGAGUAACACUUUGGAACCUACCUUUGACUGGAGCAUAACACGGGGAAACCCGUGCUAAUUCUCCAUAGUAUCUAAGCCUUCGGGUUUUAGAUUAAAGAUUUAUCGGUUAAAGAGGGGCCUAAGUCCUUUUAGCUUGUUGGUGAGGUAAUGGCUCACCAAGGCGACGAUGGGUAGCUGGUCUGAGAAGACGAUC
rnacentral:rRNA from 1 species